rnacentral:rRNA from 1 species
UACGGAGGAUGCAAGCGUUUUCCGGAAUUAUUGGGCGUAAAGCGUCCGCAGGUGGCUGUUCAAGUCUGCUGUCAAAGCGCAGAGCUUAACUCUGUACAGGCGGUGGAAACUGAAGAGCUAGAGUAUGGUAGGGGUAGAGGGAAUUCCCGGUGUAGCGGUGAAAUGCGUAGAUAUCGGGAAGAACACCAGUGGCGAAAGCGCUCUACUGGGCCAUAACUGACACUGAGGGACGAAAGCUAGGGGAGCGAAAGGG